GGUAGACAAAAUGAGAGGCUAAUCUACUUCCAAUGUUAUAUUAACUGCAGGAAAUGGUAAUAUUGUUAAUUAACCCUCCAUAUAGGUUUACAAGAAUCAGGUUAAAUAUUAUAGCGUGCCAUAUUUACAGAGUCUGAUAAUUUGCCUGUCCCAGACUCCAUCUGCAGGCAUUAAUAGAAUCAAUAAGGGUUACCAGAUCCACUAUGUUUU